rnacentral:lncRNA from 1 species
UAGGUGAGCUAUCACCUAGUCGACAGUCAGGAGGACAAUAAUUAUCCAGGUGAGCUAUCACCUAGUCCGACAGUCAGGAGGACAACAAUUAUCCAGGUGAGCAAUCAUCUAGUUGACUGUCAGGAAGAUAACACAUGAUACAGGUAAGCUAUCACCUAGUCGACAGAGAGGAGGACAACAAUUAUCCAGGUGAGCUAUCACCUAGUUGACUGUCAGGAAGAUAACACAUGACACAG